GUCUCUCUUGAGUGGAUCCUGAGUACGACGGAGCACGUGAAAUUCCGUCGGAAUCUGGGAGGACCAUCUCCUAAGGCUAAAUACUCUCUAGUGACCGAUAGUGAACCAGUACCGUGAGGGAAAGGUGAAAAGCACCCCGGAAGGGGAGUGAAAUAGAACCUGAAACCGUGUGCUUACAAGUAGUCAGAGCCCGUUAAUGGGUGAUGGCGUGCCUUUUGUAGAAUGAACCGGCGAGUUACGAUUUGAUGCAAGGUUAAGCAGUAAAUGUGGAGCCGUAGCGAAAGCGAGUCUGAAUAGGGCGUUUAGUAUUUGGUCGUAGACCCGAAACCAGGUGAUCUACCCUUGGUCAGGUUGAAGUUCAGGUAACACUGAAUGGAGGACCGAACCGACUUACGUUGAAAAGUGAGCGGAUGAACUGAGGGUAGCGGAGAAAUUCCAAUCGAACCUGGAGAUAGCUGGUUCUCUCCGAAAUAGCUUUAGGGCUAGCCUCAAGUGAUGAUUAUUGGAGGUAGAGCACUGUUUGGACGAGGGGCCCCUCUCGGGUUACCGAAUUCAGACAAACUCCGAAUGCCAAUUAAUUUAACUUGGGAGUCAGAACAUGGGUGAUAAGGUCCGUGUUCGAAAGGGAAACAGCCCAGACCACCAGCUAAGGUCCCAAAAUAUAUGUUAAGUGGAAAAGGAUGUGGCGUUGCCCAGACAACUAGGAUGUUGGCUUAGAAGCAGCCAUCAUUUAAAGAGUGCGUAAUAGCUCACUAGUCGAGUGACACUGCGCCGAAAAUGUACCGGGGCUAAACAUAUUACCGAAGCUGUGGAUUGUCCUUUGGACAAUGGUAGGAGAGCGUUCUAAGGGCGUUGAAGCAUGAUCGUAAGGACAUGUGGAGCGCUUAGAAGUGAGAAUGCCGGUGUGAGUAGCGAAAGACGG
rnacentral:rRNA from 1 species